rnacentral:rRNA from 1 species
GUGGGGAAUCUUGCGCAAUGGGCGAAAGCCUGACGCAGCCAUGCCGCGUGAAUGAUGAAGGUCUUAGGAUUGUAAAAUUCUUUCACCGGGGACGAUAAUGACAGUACCCGGAGAAGAAGCUCCGGCUAACUUCGUGCCAGCAGCCGCGGUAAUACGAAGGGGGCUAGCGUUGCUCGGAAUUACUGGGCGUAAAGGGCGCGUAGGCGGACAGCUUAGUCAGAGGUGAAAGCCCAGGGCUCAACCUUGGAAUUGCCUUUGAUACUGGCUGUCUUGAGUUUGGGAGAGGUGAGUGGAACUCCGAGUGUAGAGGUGAAAUUCGUAGAUAUUCGGAAGAACACCAGUGGCGAAGGCGACUCACUGGCCCAAUACUGACGCUGAGGCGCGAAAGCGUGGGGAGCAAACAGGAUUAGAUACCCGAGUAGUCC